GACACACGCGUUCGGAUUUGAAUUAUUUCCAACAGUGUAUAUCAGGCUUGAAGGAAUUGCGUAGUUUCUCAAUUUCCGUUGUUGUUUGUGGACCAACAUUGAAAUAUUUGUCCAAAGCUUUUUGUUUUGUAUCCCUUUUCUCUUUUCAACUCCUGGUAACAACUUACAACUGCGAUAAUACCACGAAAAACGUUGGUGCUGCCCUCUUUAUUCGGAUCAUUUUGAAGAAAGAUGGAUAUUCCUUGUUCAAAUUGCGUAAGUACAAUUAUCUCGUCAUUCGAAAGUGGCUAGCGAUCAGCAUCCAAGAAAUUCACGACAUAAUUUUAUUUCAAGUCCUCAAAACCAACAUUUUUUGCUAAACUUAAUAUGUUUUGUCCAAUUUCUGGAAGGAGGAGAUUAAGGCUACUUAAUAACACAAUUGUGCAAAAUUUGCUAAAAAAUGGUUGAUUUCAGCUUAUCCCAUGAUUCGCCAAUAUUGUCUACAGCAUUUGUAGAAUACAAACGAAAUACCUUAAAAGUAAUCACGAGAUUCUUAAGUGCACACUGUGAGAUAAUCAAGUAACUCCACAUAUCGGCUAUGAAAAAUCAAUUACGCCGCAGAAACUAGAAUUUCAAAAUCAACCUAAAUUGCACAACAUUUGUAAACUAAAAUUGGAAUGGUAAAUAUUACUGGGUAUUUAUUGAUGUACAUAUUGCUAGUAAUUGCCGAUAUUUUAAUGCUGAUGCAUGUGAGACCGCGUAAUACUUGGUGUUAAAAUUGACCGAAUAUUCCACAUCUAUUCUACUCUCUACAUCUGCUUUGCAUUCUAGUCUAGGAGCAUCAAUCCGUUUUGUUGAAACUUAUGGAAAACACGUAUCUUUAAUUUUCCUUGAAAUAAGUUAUUAAAAAAAUAAAUGUUGAGAAUUUAAUUACAAAGGAUGUUUUUUGUUUUGCUUUUAAAGAUUUUACGCAUUACUUCAACUUUCAAAUCAUGAUUUACUGGGUAUUCCUGGUAGGAUUCGUGUCGCGUUGGGAAAUUGCAAUUAUGGUGUGGUGCUGAAUUCGCAACUCCCCCUCCCACCUGGCCCCCCCCCGAAUCCCUCAAUACCUCAUCGGAAUAUUUCACGGAGAACAACAGAGGAUUUGGACGUUAAUAACACGCUGAAAACCGCGCUUUCGGGGUCAGUUAAAAAGAAAAACAAACAUGUGAAACCCUGAAAAAACGAUAAAAAGUAUUUAAAGCUGAAAUUCAUAAAAAAAGAUAGCAAAAAAUGUAUCCUCUUUAGGAUUUUAAUUUACGCCCAUUCGACCCUUUGAACUUAAUUCCUGUCUGUUAUUUUUUGGGUAGUUAAUUACCUUGGGAUGAAAACGUAGACAUCUCUAAAGCUAUGUAAAUUAAGGGUUGAAUUUGUUUAAUUUAAGUCGUGCAUUUCCAUCCGAAAUUGUGGAAAAUUUCGUAGAAAAGUCAUUUCUUAAAGUGUUACAUGAUAUCAACCCCACUCAAAGAAGACUUGCGUUUCAUCUUUAUGAAUACGAAUCUUUUUCUUCUAUAUUCCUGCACCCUACGUAACUUUCGUGAUAUUACUCCAUAUCUUUGAGCUUGAAAAAUGACUUAAAAAGAGAUUUAUUCGCUAUGAGGUUUAUUUCAAAAAAUAAAUUUGAAUCUAAAAUACCUUAUUAAUUUUAGGGUUACAUCAUAUAUUGAUUGAGUGAUUGGAGGAUUUAAUUAAUCCGCAUGCGAUUGUUUGGAAUUUGCGAGUUGUAAAUAAUUCGUAUACAAUUUCAGGAUCGAUAAUAUCCAUUUAUAAUCACAAAUUAAGCUGGUUUCCAUAAAGGAAAGGGGGGAAACUCGAAAUCCAACAACAAUCUUUUAUAAGGGUUGCUUGUUUGGGUUUAAGCGCGAAUUUCAAUCUUAAUUAAAACCAAGAUUGAUUUAGAUUCUGUUCUUGUUAGGCGGUUUUAACUCCACUUUGAAAAAUUAAAGGACUCGAUUCUGGUUUAACCUGUCAUUUUCCGUUUUGAUAAAUGAAACAUUAAUUGAGAACGAAACUAAAUAAAGGAGUUUUCGUUUUUGUGAUUCAGAGGAAAUAAAAGUUUUUCAUUUCGUGAUAUUUUUGUUAUUCAUGACGUGGAUACAAAGUUUUAAUAAAUGUGGAUAUUGCAUAUCGCCGGGGGAUAAACUUUAUAACAUUCGAAAAAAAAAUGUUCGAUCGCCAAAAAGAAUGUUUAUUGAUAUUUGAUUAUCUUUAGUAUUUCAUUGCAGCAAAAAUUUUUGUACCUACAUAUAAACCUAAAUAGUUUUUCGGUGUACAUGAAUAUUUUUAUUUACCAUAAAAGCGUGCCACUUAAAAGCUUUUAUAACCGAGCGUGAUCGUUUCAAGUACAUUUUGCUUUCAAACAUCGCCAAAGUUGUAAAAUAUCAACUAGAAUUUAAUAAUCGUAUAAAAAACGUUUUAUAAACAAUAUUUUUUGAUAUAUACCAAUAAAUUUUACACAUCAGUGUUUACUCGAGUGAUAACGCGACGUAUUACGCGUAUUACUUUUAUAAAUAGACGGUUUUAUCUGUUUGAAUUGCUCCCGAUCAAUUUUUUACACAGUAAACAAUUUCUUGUAUAACUAGACAUCAAGUUGUUUAUUAUUAAAUGUGCAAUUUCCAAAAAUUACAAUUAUAAUACCGUAGGGUCAUUCAAGACCCCAAGAUAAAUAUAAAUUUGAAGACUUAUCAUUAUCAAAGUGCCACAUAAGGAAUGAUUCUAUCUCUAUAUUUGUGUCAAAAGUAUGCCUUGAUAUUUUGCGCUGUCAGCAUAUGGCACUAUAACACUUGGUUGCUGGAAAAGAUUGGUAUCUUUUUCCAAUGAUUGACAAAAAAUACAAUUUAACUGAUAAGAAUACCAAAUAAUUGGCAGAAAAUUCUUGGUAGUAGAAAAUCAGAGGUAGAACUGCAAGCAAAGAAUACCAAAUGACCAAGUAGAGGUUGAUAUCAAAAAUGUUGCGGGUAAUUUGAUACGUUGAGCAAUACUAUAGCUAGAAUACUUUUUCCAAAUUUUUUGAAAUGGGUUGCCCAAUAACAAAGUGGGGCCUUAUUUGAUUUUUGAAUAGGGAUUAGGAUGAAUAAAGAAUUUUCCAGGAAUUCUAGAAGUUCUGGUAUCUUCACACUGGAUCAGAAUUGCUAAUAUAUUCGCUAUUAACUAUUACUGUGUAUUACUGUGUUACAACAGUUUCCAUUCCUAUUUUCGCUUUUUAUACUUCUGUCAUUACUAAAGUAUCCUCACCGUAACUCCCAAUUUAUUAUAAAUAGAAAAUAUGAAUAAUAUAACUUCAGGUGGAAAAGGUUAUAACUAGAUUUACGUUGCAAAAAGGUUCGGCAAAGCUCUUGAAAUGUAAAAGGAAAUGUCAUAAUACUGAAAUGAAGGAAUCACUAAUAAAAUUUCGAGGAUUAUUAAAUGCAGAAAGAGGGGAUUACAUUUCUGUAAUUAAAUAUUCAAAAAAGGACAUAGCAUGUAGGCUUUAACAUUGGUUUUUAAUUUCAUCGACAACCCGAGAACAUUCAUCGUCCCACCAACCUAGUUAACAAUUUUUUUUCAAUAAAUUGAUUGAAAUCGACAAAAUGUUCAAUUUUCAAGAACUGAUUCCAUAAAGGAUUGGGUGUUUAAAUAUGCAAAAAUAAUUGUUCUUAGAUGGUUUGCUCUAAGGUUAACGUUAUUUAACGUAUAUAUUAGAAAAUAGUUUGGAAAUAUUUUAAAGAGUUCACAAAAUCAAGGAUAGAAGCUUAUGGGAAAUAAAGAGAAUGGAAUUCCAACAUGUGAGAACUUCAAACAAGUGUAAAUAGAAACGUGUUGAAAAGGACAAGAAAAUUAAAGUGCUGGUUCAAGAAUUCAAAGGAUGCUCAUCUGAUAUCUGGCAACCGUCGAGGUAUCUAAAAGUAGUUGGAAAAUAGCAAAAUUUAGAUGCGGAAACGUGAAAAGUUUUAUAAGAAUUGGACUAAUUAAAUAAAAUUAUUACACUUA
rnacentral:lncRNA from 1 species